GACGAACGCUGGCGGCGUGCUUAACACAUGCAAGUCGAACGGAAAGGCCCUGCUUUUGUGGGGUGCUCGAGUGGCGAACGGGUGAGUAACACGUGAGUAACCUGCCCUUGACUUUGGGAUAACUUCAGGAAACUGGGGCUGAUACCGGAUAGGAGCUCCUGCUGCAUGGUGGGGGUUGGAAAGUUUCGGCGGUUGGGGAUGGACUCGCGGCUUAUCAGCUUGUUGGUGGGGUAGUGGCUUACCAAGGCUUUGACGGGUAGCCGGCCUGAGAGGGUGACCGGCCACAUUGGGCCUGAGAUACGGCCCAGACUCCUACGGGAGGCAGCAGUGGGGAAUAUUGCACAAUGGGCGGAAGCCUGAUGCAGCAACGCCGCGUGCGGGAUGACGGCCUUCGGGUUGUAAACCGCUUUCGCCUGUGACGAAGCGUGAGUGACGGUAAUGGGUAAAGAAGCACCGGCUAACUACGUG
rnacentral:rRNA from 1 species